AUGGCGACCGGCGCACGGGUGAGUAACACGUAUCCAACCUGCCGAUGACUCGGGGAUAGCCUUUCGAAAGAAAGAUUAAUACCCGAUGGCAUAGUUCUUCCGCAUGGUGGAACUAUUAAAGAAUUUCGGUCAUCGAUGGGGAUGCGUUCCAUUAGGCAGUUGGUGGGGUAACGGCCCACCAAACCUUCGAUGGAUAGGGGUUCUGAGAGGAAGGUCCCCCACAUUGGAACUGAGACACGGUCCAAACUCCUACGGGAGGCAGCAUG
rnacentral:rRNA from 1 species